CCCAGACUCCUACGGGAGGCAGCAGUGGGGAAUAUUGCACAAUGGGGGGAACCCUGAUGCAGCGACGCCGCGUGGGUGAAGAAGCGCCUCGGCGCGUAAAGCCCUGUCAGCAGGGAAGAAAAUGACGGUACCUGAAGAAGAAGCCCCGGCUAACUACGUGCCAGCAGCCGCGGUAAUACGUAGGGGGCAAGCGUUAUCCGGAUUUACUGGGUGUAAAGGGAGCGUAGACGGAAAGGCAAGUCAGAAGUGAAAACCCAAGGCUCAACCAUGGGACUGCUUUUGAAACUGUCAAACUAGAGCACGGGAGAGGUAAGAGGAAUUCCUAGUGUAGCGGUGAAAUGCGUAGAUAUUAGGAGGAACACCAGUGGCGAAGGCGUCUUACUGGACCGAAACUGACGUUGAGGCUCGAAAGCGUGGGGAGCAAACAGGAUUAGAUACCCGUGUAGUU
rnacentral:rRNA from 1 species